AUGGAGCUUUAGACACCAAAGAAUAUCCUGUCAAGUAACCCCCCACAAGGGCCUGAACUAAUGGAAUCCUUCCCUAAUGUCUUUGGUUGGGGCGACCGCGGGGAAACAAAAAACCCCCACGUGGAAAGGGAGCACCCCCUCCUACAACUAAGAGCCGCAGCUCUAAUUAACAGAAUAUCUGACCAAUAAGAUCCGGCAAUGUCAAUCAACGGACCG
rnacentral:rRNA from 1 species